rnacentral:rRNA from 1 species
UACGUAUGGUGCAAGCGUUAUCCGGAUUUACUGGGUGUAAAGGGAGCGCAGGCGGCACGGCAAGCCUGAUGUGAAAGCCCGCGGCCCAACCGCGGGACUGCAUUGGGAACUACCGGGCUGGAGUGCCGGAGAGGUAGGCGGAAUUCCUAGUGUAGCGGUGAAAUGCGUAGAUAUUGGGAGGAACACCAGUGGCGAAGGCGGCCUACUGGACGGUGACUGACGCUGAGGCUCGAAAGCGUGGGGAGCAAACAGG